CUCUGGUGUACCAGUUGUUCCGCCAGGAGCAUAGCUGGGUAGCUAAGUCGGGAAGGGAUAAACGCUGAAGGCAUCUAAGCGUGAAGCCCACCUCAAGAUAAGAUUUCCCAUAGAGUAAUCUAGUAAGAUCCCUUGAAGAACACAAGGUUGAUAGGUGAGAGGUGUAAGUGUGGUAACAUAUUUAGCUGACUCAUACUAAUAGAUCGAGGGCUUGACCAA
rnacentral:rRNA from 1 species